UACAGAGGGUGCAAGCGUUGUUCGGAAUUACUGGGCGUAAAGCGUGCGCAGGCGGUUUUGUAAGCCAGAUGUGAAAUCCCCGGGCUUAACCUGGGAAUGGCAUUUGGGACUGCAAGGCUGGAGUGCGGCAGAGGAGACUGGAAUUCCUGGUGUAGCAGUGAAAUGCGUAGAUAUCAGGAGGAACACCGGUGGCGAAGGCGGCUAUCUGGACAGAGUCUGACGCUGAGGCGCGAAAGCUAGGGGAGCAAACAGG
rnacentral:rRNA from 1 species